CCUUCCGUAGGUGAACCUGCGGAAGGAUCAUUACAGAGUUCAUGCCCUUCGGGGUAGAUCUCCCAACCUUUAUUAUCAUUAAGUGUUGCUUUGGCAAAUCGAGGCCUGCACGCCGGGGCCCCUCUGUAUUCGCCAGAGGAUUACAAAUUCUGAAUUAAUGUCGUCUGAGUACUAUAAAAUAGUUAAAACUUUCAACAACGGAUCUCUUGGUUCUGGCAUCGAUGAAGAACGCAGCGAAAUGCGAUAAGUAAUGUGAAUUGCAGAAUUCAGUGAAUCAUCGAAUCUUUGAACGCACAUUGCGCCCCUUGGUAUUCCGGGGGGCAUGCCUGUUCGAGCGUCAUUAUAACCAAUCCAGUUUACUGGGUCUUGGGCCUCGCGAUUCUGCGGGCCUUAAAACUAGUGGCGGUGCUCUUAGGCUCUACGCGUAGUAACUUUCUCGCUAUAGAGUCCUGAGAGAUGCUUGCCAACAACCCCAAAUUUUUUUAGGUUGACCUCGGAUCAGGUAGGGAUACCCGCUGAACUUAAGCAUAUCAAUAAGCGGAGGAA
rnacentral:sRNA from 1 species